UUUAUGUUAAUCUUGCAACUGAUAAAUGUAAAUUUCAUCAUAUAUAAAGAUUUAUAUUUUACGAAAAUUUUGAAAAAGAUUUGAAGACUGAGGGAUAAUUGAUUAAAGUCCAUAUUUCAUUCAAAUUGAGGACGAUAUAAUGUGUUAAUAUCAUUUUCGGAAUAUGCUUUACUAGAGCGAGACGCUAUACGAUCGAGCCGGAUAUUUAUAUUCUAGCUCACAAGGUGAAGAAGAAACGAUGAAUGUGUAAGUUGAAACAGAGGUGGAAAGAAAACAAAUACAGCACGGGUGAAAGAUGUUCGCCCUUUUUUCAUUCAACUUUUCUGAAAGCUUCGUUGAAACUGUUCAUCUGUCCUGCAUAUUAUUUUUUCUGGUUUUGGGAAUACUCAUAAUUAUAGUAUUUCUAUGGAUAUUCUUGAAAUAUGACCACACAAAUUCUGACACUUUAUUUCUUGCUUUGAUAAUAGGAUUUUUUCAUCAAUGUUUUGUGUCAAUGAACUGGCUAAAAUCGACAUAUCAUCUAAAUGGAAUUACUGUUUUCGUGUUCGAUUGGUACACUUUUCCCGUCGUUUGUUUCAUAUUUACUUUUGGCGUGGUGUGCAUGAUAGAUUGUUCAAAAGAGGAGUCUACAACAAGAAUAUUUGCAUAUGGAGUUUACAUUUCCGCGGUUUUACUGCUAGUUUUUGGAAUGGGAGUUUACGGAUUCAGUAAUCAACAUGCAAAUCAUUAUAGCUUGAAGUUUAACAAAAUAGCAAUUCUAGUUAACAUGAUCACAAUUGUGAGUUAUGCUUUGGAAUAUGUUUUAGUCUAUGCCCCGAUCACUGUGAUCCUGAUCUGGAACAUGAAGGGAUGUGUGCUUAUUACAGGUCAAAAAGGUGGACAUCACGAGCAGUGUAUAAAGAGUGAUCAUAAUAUUAAAGUACAGCGACACAUCUUAAGGUUUAUGUUGUUUAUGAUUUGGAUCGUGAGACCAUUUUUGUGGACUAUAAACUUUCAUUACAAUUUUGUGACACAAGAUUUUAUUCCAAGCAUGGCAGUGUGCAUGGUGUAUAUGUUUUUACUUUGGGAUUUUGGUAUUUUCUACUUGAGAGACUUUUUAGGCUGGCAGCCAAUCAAGCCGGCACCACCAUUGUUUUCUUAUCAUCCAAUUUUCAUCUAAAACCAAACAAAAAACUGUAUAAGACUUAAACAUUCAAUGAACCUUAAACUCAUAGUAAACUGAAAUAGCACCUCCUUUGUUAACUGAAAUAGACAUUUACACGUCUUGUCAUGAUUCUUUUCAGCUUAAAUCCAGUUUUAUAUGCCAAUGAUACUAGAAGCCACUUUUUAUUCAAUACAAAAACGUUCUGAAAUUUGAGAUCUUUUUUCUUUUUCAUUUUGUCUUGUUUCUAUUCUACACAAUUAGCAGAUUAAGAAACAAUAUUGAAAUAGAAAAUUGAAUAAUCUAACAUUUUGUAAUUACACAUGUCAUUUUGAAUACAUGAUUUAUGUAAGUUGAAAUGAGAUAUGUUAUAAUGUAUAAUCCAUAGCCAAGAAGCUAUCACAAUUACAAGAAACAAGUUGUUUAUUACAGUUAUUAGUGUAAUUGUUAAAGCAAUGUAGGAUCUUAACCCCGAACUGAACAGUAGGUCAAUAUCACACUUAAUAUCAACUCUGUUGUCAGCUCUAGUAAUGAUAUCAAUGAAAAGUUCUGGAUGAAUAAUUCUCAACUUAUUGCACGGAAUCAACUUUAAAUGCCAUUUCUAAAUCAAUCAAGGACCAUCGCAGAAGCAUAGGUUCAUAUUACAUUUACAUUUCUCGUCCUGGUAAUUUAUGCAUGUAAUAUUUGCUACUUGACAUUAAACAAUAAUAUCGUCAUCGUUUUCGUUGACCAAGCAAU